AAACAGGCUUGCUAAGCCAGACCAAGUCAUAAACAGAUUAGAGUGCUGCGGAGGUCAGGUUUCAGCUGGCAUUCGCGAAAAUAGGGGGGUUCUGGCAUUGUCAGAGGGUGAUUCAUUGCACUGGAAUAUUUCAGGGGAGGAGAGCCGUACAGGAGCUGCGAACACCAUGCUGCAAGGAGAGGGGCUCAUUGUGUGCCGGGUUUCUGCCUCCAAGUUCGCUCUCCCAGAUUUAUGCUGAUACCACGUAUAUCAGGAGCAGUUAUCUGUUUCUGUUUAACUCGGAUGAAAGCCCAUGUGUGGUUAUUGCAUUCUAAGUUUGCUAGAACUUGUUAAUAAUUUAGAAUAAUAAAGUCAGUCAAAUUAAUUCACUUCUAAAAUUGAGCUUAUUUGCAUUGGCUUGUCUUUUUUGUAACAGAUCUCUCUGCGGGCAUAUGUUUGUAUAAGCUUUUGUAUGUGCUUGUGAGUGUUUGUGUGCAUACGUAAUUUCCUUCACCAUCUUACAACCCAAAGAGGCUGAGUUGGAUUUAAACAUUGUACAAGAAAAAUAGUUUUUCCCUGCCUGUGAAUAUAUUCUAUGAAGGUUCACCCCAAAGUGAAGCCAAAUAGCUAAGAAAUAAAUCCGCAGGAAAAAAAAAAAAAUGGGAUUUGUAAUGGAAAUGCUCCCUUGUCUUAAAUUAUAGCUAGGCAUAUGUGAAGCUGAAAUGCAUGCUGCAGCAUCCAGACGGUGCCUCAAGCUGGCCGUGCAUUCCCAGAAAUCAAGAAAAAUACCCCAGCCUACCUGCAAAAUGACCUUUCUCCUAGCACCGACUUGCAGCUCAGAAGCUUUUGUGCUGGAAGAGGCAGGUGUUCGUGGUCUGACCCAGCAGGGAUCCAGUGGAACAAAAUAAUGCCUGAUAGUCAGCAGGGUCGGCGUGUACGUACAGAGGGGUUCGUAGCUGUUGAGGGAUAGGGGUGUGCGGGUCAUACAGCCAAGUGUCAUCAUACUUCUGUAUACAAAAGUAAAAUUAUACUUUCAUACACAAUGGUUAUGCAGAGAGAUGCGUUGAUGAAGAUGAGCUGAACUAUGAGCCCCUCCCCUGGAGCAAAACCAUGGCAAAUGGUUGUGUAAUGCAAUUUCAGAGCUUCCAUUGCUGUACUUCCAAACUCAAUCUCAACCUGUGCUAUUUGUGUAACUGCGAAGAGGUUACGUUACAGGCAAUAUCUAAAAUAUUGUUAUGAUUUCUUCUGCAAGGACAGAAUGCACAGCCCCUCACUUUUCUUCUUCAUAUAGGGUUAUUGCCUUCAGAUGGUAAGAAAUUUAAGAAGGUUUCAGUUGCUGUUGAAUUAACAUUUCUAUACGCAUCAUUUAACUAGAUAAUUUGCUGACUCUAAAAUUUCUGUGUAAUCAAAUUGAUUGGCUGUUUUAACAUUCCUAAGUGCUAGUUGAAAUGAUGCGGAGAAUGGGCCCCUUUCUUUAGAUUCAGGGCAGCAGCAGGGUGAGGUUAUCUCGUGCAGCAUCCUGAGGCCUGACCUGCUGCAAGGCAGGGCUCGUGCAUUUCCCAGCACACAUGACCUGCAGCGCUCUUGCCCUCCCUCAUCUGUAAAGCCUCCUGGCUCUGCUGAGGGGCAUCCAGACAUCUCAGAACAGUGAGAUCACAGGGUUUUAUUAAAAUACAUACAGCCCUCUUCUCCUCCCAGAGUUUUAUUGUCUCCUCGAUGCUCAGAAGUUGUACCCAGUGAGUGCUCGUGCACUCCGUCCUUCCACCUCUGGUCUCCUGUUCUCUCUGCCACCUGCCCUGGGAGGGGAGAAUUGUGAUGGAGGCAGCUUUCCUCCUCGUUUGGCAUGCGUCGCUGCUUGUGCCAACUCAGGCAGGAAUGAACGUCGGCCUAGGGCAAACCACGAACAUU
rnacentral:lncRNA from 1 species